rnacentral:rRNA from 1 species
UUGAACGCUGGCGGCAGGCCUAACACAUGCAAGUCGAACGGUAACAGGAAGAAGCUUGCUUCUUUGCUGACGAGUGGCGGCCGGGUGAGUAAUGUCUGGGAAACUGCCUGAUGGAGGGGGAUAACUACUGGAAACGGUAGCUAAUACCGCAUAACGUCGCAAGACCAAAGAGGGGGACCUUCGGGCCUCUUGCCAUCGGACGUGCCCAGAUGGGAUUAGCUAGUAGGUGGGGUAACGGCUCACCUAGGCGACGAUCCCUAGCUGGUCUGAGAGGAUGACCAGCCACACUGGAACUGAGACACGGUCCAGACUCCUACGGGAGGCAGCAGUGGGGAAUAUUGCACAAUGGGCGCAAGCCUGAUGCAGCCAUGCCGCGUGUAUGAAGAAGGCCUUCGGGUUGUAAAGUACUUUCAGCGGGGAGGAAGGGAGUAAAGUUAAUACCUUUGCUCAUUGACGUUACCCGCAGAAGAAGCACCGGCUAACUCCGUG